GACGUAGGGCGCAAGCGUUGUCCGGAUUUAUUGGGCGUAAAGAGCUCGUAGGCGGCUUGUUGCGUCGUCCGUGAAAACCUGUGGCUCAACUACAGGCUUGCGGUCGAUACGGGCGGGCUGGAGUUCGGUGAGGGGAGACUGGAAUUCCUGGUGUGAGCGGUGAAAUGCGCAGAGUAUCAGGAGGAACACCAAUUGCGAAGGCAGCUCGCUGGGACGUAACUGACGCUGAGACGCGAAAGCGUGGGGAGCAACAGG
rnacentral:rRNA from 1 species